UAUGAAGGGGGCUAGCGUUGUUCGGAAUUACUGGGCGUAAAGCGCGCGUAGGCGGUCUUCCAAGUCAGUGGUGAAAGCCCGGAGCUCAACUCCGGAAUUGCCAUUGAAACUGUAAGACUUGAGGAUGAGAGAGGUGAGUGGAAUUCCCAGUGUAGAGGUGAAUUUCGUAGAUAUUGGGAAGAACACCGGUGGCGAAGGCGGCCCACUGGCUCAUUUCUGACGCUCAGGCGCGACAGCGUGGGGAUCAAACAGG
rnacentral:rRNA from 1 species